AGGGAUUUCUGGAUCAGGGCUACAUCCCCUAGUAUUUUCACAGCAUCAGAUAUGCAUGAAUCCGCUGGCUGCUGUGGCCCACCUGGGAGUCUCCAUCUGCCCAGAUAUUCACUGCCAAUGCUUGGUUGGAGUAGUUGAUCAAUUUGUUCUGUCCUUUGUCCUCCAUCAUGGUACCCGGUGUCCUCUGAAGGCUCCAAUGUACUGCCAUAUCCUCCAUGUGCAUUUUGAUAUGCAUGCCCUUUCUGGGCCCAGCGUGAUAGCCUAGCAGCUAAAGUCCUCACUUUGCAUGCAUCGGGAUCGCAUAUGUGUACUGGUUUGUGUCCCAGCGGCUCCA